CAGCCGCCGCGGGAAUACGAAGGGUGCAAGCGUUACUCGGAAUUACUGGGCGUAAAGCGUGCGUAGGUGGUGGUUUAAGUCCGUUGUGAAAGCCCUGGGCUCAACCUGGGAAUUGCAGUGGAUACUGGAUCACUAGAGUGUGGUAGAGGAUAGUGGAAUUUCCGGUGUAGCAGUGAAAUGCGUAGAGAUCGGAAGGAACAUCUGUGGCGAAGGCGACUAUUUGGGCCAACACUGACACUGAGGCACGAAAGCGUGGGGAGCAAACAGGAUUAGAUACCCGUGUAGUCCCUGUCUCUUAUAC
rnacentral:rRNA from 1 species